rnacentral:rRNA from 1 species
GACGAACGCUGGCGGCGUGCUUAACACAUGCAAGUCGAACGGAAAGGCCCUGCUUUUGUGGGGUGCUCGAGUGGCGAACGGGUGAGUAACACGUGAGUAACCUGCCCUUGACUUUGGGAUAACUUCAGGAAACUGGGGCUAAUACCGGAUAGGAGCUCCUGCUGCAUGGUGGGGGUUGGAAAGUUUCGGCGGUUGGGGAUGGACUCGCGGCUUAUCAGCUUGUUGGUGGGGUAGUGGCUUACCAAGGCUUUGACGGGUAGCCGGCCUGAGAGGGUGACCGGCCACAUUGGGACUGAGAUACGGCCCAGACUCCUACGGGAGGAAGCAGUGGGGAAUAUGGCACAAUGGGCGGAAGCCUGAUGCAGCAACGCCGCGUGCGGGAUGACGGCCUUCGGGUUGUAAACCGCUUUCGCCUGUGACGAAGCGUGAGUGACGGUAAUGGGUAAAGAAGCACCGGCGAACUACGU